rnacentral:rRNA from 1 species
UACGUAGGCAGCAAGCGUUGUUCGGAGUUACUGGGCGUAAAGGGUGUGUAGGCGGUUGUUUAAGUUUGGUGUGAAAUCUCCCGGCUCAACUGGGAGGGUGCGCCGAAUACUGAAUGACUCGAGUGCGGGAGAGGAGAGUGGAAUUCCUGGUGUAGCGGUGAAAUGCGUAGAUAUCAGGAGGAACACCGGUGGUGUAGACGGCUCUCUGGACCGUAACUGACGCUGAGACACGAAAGCGUGGGUAG